UACAGAGGUGGCAAGCGUUGUUCGGAAUUACUGGGCGUAAAGGGCGCGUAGGCGGCCUUCUAAGUCAGACGUGAAAUCCCCCGGCUUAACCUGGGAACUGCGUCUGAUACUGGGAGGCUUGAGUAUGGGAGAGGGAUGUAGAAUUCCAGGUGUAGCGGUGAAAUGCGUAGAGAUCCGGAGGAACGCCAGUGACGAAGGUGGCCACCUGGCCCUCGCCUGACACUGAGGUGCGAUAGCGUGGGGAGCGAACCGG
rnacentral:rRNA from 1 species